GACGAACGCUGGCGGCGUGCCUAAUACAUGCAAGUAGAACGCACAGUUUAUACCGUAGCUUGCUACACCAUAGACUGUGAGUUGCGAACGGGUGAGUAACGCGUAGGUAACCUGCCUGGUAGCGGGGGAUAACUAUUGGAAACGAUAGCUAAUACCGCAUAAUAUUAAUUAUUGCAUGAUAAUUAAUUGAAAGGUGCAAUUGCACCACUACCAGAUGGACCUGCGUUGUAUUAGCUAGUAGGUGAGGUAACGGCUCACCUAGGCGACGAUACAUAGCCGAGCUGGGAGGGUGAUCGGCCAAACUGGGACUGAGACACGGCCCAGACGCCUACGGGAGGCAGCAGUAGGGAAUCUUCGGCAAUUGACGAAAGUCUGACCGCGCAACGCCGCGGGAGUGAAGAAGGGUUUCGGAUCGUAAAGCUCUGUUGUAAGAGAAGAAAGGGUGUGAGAGUGGAAAGUUCACACUGUGACGGUAUCUUACCAGAAAGGGACGGCUAACUACGUG
rnacentral:rRNA from 1 species